CAAAAAGAAAAAGUAAAAGUCCAAAUACAGAUACAAAACAGAAAAAGCCUAAAUUUGACACAAGCCCUAAACGACCUAUCGUCCACACUCAAGCUACCACCGAGAAAGGCUUACGGGAAAAUCCAAGAGAUUUGUUCAGCCCUAAAAGACCUGCCGUCCCUAGAGAGAGCUUGUUGAGGCCUCUCCAGUUUGAAACUAACUUAAGUCUCAUCUCCUUUACACUAGGUAAGAUUCAUGUUAUAUACUUGUUUAUUAAUUUACUUAUUUGUCAAGUAAAAGAGAAAUUGGGAAUAAAUUAUUGGGGUAGCUAAUUCUACCAAUUUAUAUGUUUCUUUACUCUUUGUGAAGGUAAUCAGACAAAGUAAAGCAAAGACCUCGAAUCGAGUUUUUGUCGGCCUUCCUAAACAUGUUAUUAAUUUCAAUUAAGAUAAUUCUCUAUCAUUAGUUUACAAAUCGUUCUGGUCUGUGAUUACGACUUUAGACUUUUGUUGAUUAGUAGAUUGUUGAUUUCUUUGUUUUGUGUUUUGUUUUGUUGCCGUUUCUUUGCCGAUUAGUGUAUCUUUAGGCUUCAGGCGUUAGAGUGUUGUUAAUUGUUUAUGAGAAGUACAGUGCUGGAGUAUUCAUAUUAAGAAAUUCUUUUAUUUUCUGUCAAAACAAUAUUGAACUUUUCAACUAAAUAACUAUGGAAACUUAAGGAGGCACGAGGACCUUCACAUUCUAGCAAUAAGUCUAGAGUCUGAGUUAUAUUAGGAGAUUUAUGUCUUUAUCUUCAAGCACGUCAAGUUACAUACAAUUUCCGUUCCUUUUUCUAAAUAUUAUUGAAUAACAAUGUUUUAACAAGUAUAUUCCCAUGCCUUUGUUGCUUUCACUAAAUCAUGAAUGAGAUUUGAGUUGUCCAUCUUUUGCUUAAAUCUGUGAAUUCUACAUGCUUAAUUGUCGGACUAGUUUGGACUCUUUCCUCUUUGAUUUCUGAUUCUGUUAGCAUGUUUCAAUGUAAAGUUUAAGUGUGAUUUGGUUUCAGUGAUGAAUUUAGCACCUAUUUGUUGAAACUACUUACGUGAAAUGAUCAAGUUAAUAUGGAAGAUGACAGAACCAGGAAUCUGACCACCAGUAGGUCAGAGUCAUUUCUGGCGAAGUCAGUGCAACAUUUUUAAUCACAGUGUUGCAAAGUGUAUUUGUUUAAAAUAUUGGAUAUCUAGAAAUCAAAAGCAGUAGAGUUGAUACCUCUCUUUUCAGCAGAUGCUUAGUUACUAUGUAAAUGGAAAUAUCAAUAUGAUUCUCUUUUUUAUGAUGAUUUUAUCAUUGUGAACAAGUCAGCUGCUUACUAUAUCAUAUUUAGGCAAUGUCAAGAUAAGUGAAUAAGCAUGAUAUGAGAAGUUCCUCUCUUAUAAUGCAUUUAACUUUUCAGUAUUAUCACAUAUAUGCUACUUUAGCACAUUAGUUGGUCUCGCCAUUACUAUCAUUGUCAAAGUUUGCAUCUCUUUCUUUUUGUGCAGUAGAGAAAGCUUUAGAUUAAGUGAUAUAAUUAUGUAUCUCCAGUAAUUCCUGAAAUUUGUUAUUUAGAUCUUAAUUUUUUUGAUUUGCAUUUGUGACCCAUAUGGGAUUUAAUAUUCAAUGGAUAAUGGAGAUAAAAGUUGGAUGGGUCUCCGAAGAUCCACCGAUGAGUAUAUUCGCGGAGUGAAUGAUUUUCUUGAUAAGGCAUUUGAACGGGCUUCCAAAGGCAAUGAAAUAUUAUGUCCUUCCGAACCUUUAUCACUUCGAGAAUUCUUUGUGGCUACAAGAGCAAGAAAACUUGGAAGGUCAUACAAGGAAUCUGAUGAAGAUACAACUACUAAAAUUGCUGAAAUGGAAAAAAUUGAAACACAACAAAGUGAAGAUGGUAGCAGUUCUGUUAAUGCAUUUGCAGCCGUUAUGGGACCUGAACAUCCGGGACGUCUUAGAUUGUAUGGAUGAGGGGUUACAAGAACUUCUUUGAAAGGAAAAAUGGGACAUUUUGAAUCCUCUUCAAAUGCUACAAAUGAUCUGGUGCAACAAAUAGAAGAAAGGAUGACAAGAAUGUUCGAGGAACAGAAGGAAUAAUUUGAGAAACAGAAGGAACAAUUUGAGAAACAGAAGGAAUAAUUUGAGGAACAAAAAGAAUGAUGCGACAAGAAAUUUUAGGAGAUAUGUUUGUACAGCUUCAGCGUUCAGGAUUGCAAAUUGAUCCUAAUAUUUUAGCAAACUUGUGUGCUCGUUCACCGGGAGAAGCUUUGUCCUCACACCAAGUAGCUAUUCAACCAAUCAACAUGCCAUCUUUUGGCAACAACAAUCAAGGUAAACCAAAUGAUCAAGGGGGAGAUGAAAGCAGUGAAGACCUUACCUAAAAGUAUUGGUUGAAGAAUCUUCAGACAAUCUAGGAAUGUUUUUAUUUUUGAACUUUUUUGCAAACUUAUAAAUUCCAACUCUUGGAUUAUUAAACACUUUUAUUGUAUAUUUUACUUUUAUAAAUGGAUAAUCGUAGUUGUAUAUUUUGAAUUAUGA